AUUGAACGCUGGCGGCAUGCCUUACACAUGCAAGUCGAACGGUAACAGGUCUUCGGAUGCUGACGAGUGGCGCACGGGUGAGUAAUACAUCGGAACGUGCCCAGACGUGGGGGAUAACGAGGCGAAAGCUUUGCUAAUACCGCAUACGAUCUAAGGAUGAAAGCAGGGGACCGCAAGGCCUUGCGCGUUUGGAGCGGCCGAUGGCAGAUUAGGUAGUUGGUGGGAUAAAAGCUUACCAAGCCGACGAUCUGUAGCUGGUCUGAGAGGACGACCAGCCACACUGGGACUGAGACACGGCCCAGACUCCUACGGGAGGCAGCAGUGGGGAAUUUUGGACAAUGGGCGAAAGCCUGAUCCAGCAAUGCCGCGUGCAGGAUGAAGGCCUUCGGGUUGUAAACUGCUUUUGUACGGAACGAAAAGGCUCCGGCUAAUACCUGGGGCACAUGACGGUACCGUAAGAAUAAGCACCGGCUAACUACAUG
rnacentral:rRNA from 1 species